UUUUAUUUUGUCAGGUCCAUACAGUCGGAUCUGAUGGUACCUGGAAUAUGCAUCCAAAAAGGACAAGUGCUCACACCCCGCAGUUGAGUCGACUAUCUGGUAAAUGCGGGGUAGAGGGAAAUGAUCUUUUGGGCAGGCCUGAUUAAUAUGUUUGAAAUUGAUACAGAUUCGAAGUGACUUAUCUUUCUUGGGGACCAUGACAACAUUGGCAAGCCACUCAGAGUGGUAAAUCUCACGGAUGAACUCAGCUGCCAGAAGCCAAGCCACCUCCUCGUUGAGGGAGUCCUGGAUUAGGGGGUCCUCGGACAGCCGGACUAUAUACUUAUGUCAGACUGUUGGACUAUGAAGAUACAAGACUGAAGACUUCGUCCCGUGUCCGGGUGGGACUCUCCUUUGCGUAGAAGGCAAGCUUGGUAAUUCGGAUAUGUAGAUCUCUUUCUCUGUAACCGACUCUGUGUAACCCUAGCCCCCUCCGGUGUCUAUAUAAAGCGAAGGGUUUAGUCCGUAGGACAACAACAAUCAUAAUCGUAGGCUAGCUUCUAGGGUUAGCUUCUACGAUCUCGUGGUAGAUCAACUCUUGUAAUACUCAUAUCAUCAAGAUCAAUCAAGUAGGAACUAGGGUAUUACCUCCAUAGAGAGGGCCCGAACCUGGGUAAACAUUGUGUCCCCCACCUCCUGUUACCAUUAGCCUUAGGCGCACAGUUCGGGACCCCCUACCCGAGAUCCGCCGGUUUUGAUACCGACAUUGGUGCUUUCAUUGAGAGUUCCACUGUGUCGUCACCAUAAGGCUUGAUGGCUCCCUCAAUCAUCCACAACGAUGCGGUCCACGGUGAGGUUUUCCUCCCCGGACAGAUCUUUGUAUUCGGCGGCUUCGCACUAUGGGCCAAUUCGCUUGGCUAGCUGGAGCAGAUCGAUAGCUACGCCCCUGGCCAUCAGGUCAGGUUUGGAAGCCUGAACUACACUGCCGACAUCUGCAGAGAUUUGAUCUUCGGCAUAUUCGAGCCCUUGACAAGUGUGCCCUAUGGUCACGACGAGCAUGACUUAGAUCUGCCAGCGGACGGUGUUCGAGAGAUCGCACCUGCGGCUGCCCCGGCUUUAAAUCCAGAGCGGAUUGUGCCAUCCGAGGACGGGUGGAUGGACCCCGCCACGGAGGCCGCACACUCAGCGAUGGUGGAGCCGAACACAGAUCUCACUUCUAAGGAGGCCUGUGUCAUCGGACCCUCGGACUCGUUUCCGGCCAUAGGAUCCGAACCGUGUGCAUCCGUGCCCAUCGGAUCUAACUGGGCACCGAUCAUGGAGUUUAGCUCCGCGGAUAUCUUUUAGCACUCGCCUUUGGGUGAUGUGCUAGAUUCAUUAAAAUAUCUCUCCCUGUCAGGAGACUCUUGGCCGAACUGUGUCCAGCUUGAGUGGGAAGCGGACGACGAAGGAAUUCGUUGCCCACCCACCACCCACUUAAUAGCCACUGUCGAUGGCCUAACCGACACGCUUGAUUUUGACUCCGAAGACAUCAACGGUAUGGACGCUGAUGCCGGAGAAAAAUGGGAACCACCGCCCCCAGGGCGCUGGACGGCCACAUCAUCAUAUGAUAUAUACAUGGUGGACACACCCAAAGAAAGCAAUGGCGAUGAUGCAACGGAGGAUAAUCCCCUUGAGAAGCAAACAAAACACAACGUCAGCGGUGCCGCUCUAAAGCCCGCCAUAGCAAAAACAGUGAUACCGGCACCAGAAAGAAUAAUACCCUGGACGAUGCUAAAGAUAACGACGACCCCGUGGACCCAGCGAUGGAGCAGGAUGAGCCAGGGGACAGCGAACAUAGUCCGAGGCCGCUGCUCGAUCACAGUGAUGCCGAAGACAAAACUUAUAAACCUGUCUCUAGAGAGGACAACAGUCCGGACGACGAUGCACACAUCAUCCCGGAAAAGCAUUUGGAACAAGAGCACCUCCACAGAAGGCUUAUUGCCAUCGCGAGGAGCUUGAAGAAGCAGAAGCAACGACUUAAAGCCAUGCAAGAUACGCUCAACCACAGAUGGAACAAAGUGCUCGACACUGACUAAAUAUACGGCGGUGAUCUCCACACAAAGAGCUACCCAAAACGCAAGCUGCUGCCCGAAUUCGACAAAGAGGCUAUCACGCCCAUUUCGCCGAAGAACAAUACGGCCGAUCUGCCGGACCGACCACCCUUGGCCGAGACAGAGCGGCUAAUGACGCCGCACAUAAGUCAGCACACGAUCUACGCGAGCACUUGGACAAAAGAGCCGGUAUGGCCAGGUCCAUCUAUGGAUCUAGGAAGCGUGCCCCUACGCAGGAUCACGGCCACCAAACCAACUACACUGAUCGACUACCAUCUCAGAAUCAACACCGAACACUACAACCGUCAGACGCAUGCCACGACACAUCCAAAUACAGGGGUGCUGCACACCCCGUGUGCUUCACCGAUGAGGUGCUGGAUCAUGAAUUUCUAGAGGGGUUUAAACCCGUAAACAUCGAGGAAUAUGACGGAACGACAGACCCUGCAGUCUGGAUUGAGGAAUUUAUUCUUCACAUCCAUAUGGCUCGCAGAGACAAUCUCCACGCCAUCAAAUACCUGCCCCUCAAGUUGAAAGGACCAGCUCGGCAUUGGUUGAAAAGCCUCCCCAAAAAUUCAAUUGGAAGUUGGGAGGAACUCAAGGACGCUUUCAGGGCUAACUUUCAAGGGACCUAUGUCCGACCUCCGGAUGCAGACGAUUUAAGUCACAUAAUCCAACAACCCGAAGAAUUAGCCCGUAAGCUUUGGAACAGAUUUCUCACCAACAAGAACCAAAUCGUCGACUGUCCGGAUGCUGAAGCCCUAGCAGCUUUCAAACACAGCGUCCGGGACGAAUGGCUUUCCAGACACCUCGGCCAGGAAAAGCCGAGGACAAUGGCAGCCUUAACAACUCUUAUGACCCACUUUUGCCCAGGAGAGGCCAGUUGGUUGGCCCGGAGCAGCACCAGCGACCCAGGCACAUCCAAAAUCAGGGAUGGCUAUGGGAAGCCGCGACGCAAUAAAAACAAGCGUCAAAACAAUGAAGACAGCCCAGACAACAUAGCGAUAAAUGCCGGAUUCAGGGGCUCUCGACCCGGUCAAUGGAAAAGGCCAUUUAAAGGCAGUAGACAUGGACCGUCCAGCCUAAACAAAAUUCUAGAUAGAUCCUAUCAGAUUCAUGGCACCCCCGAGAAACCUGCGAAUCACACCAACAGAGAAUGCCAGGUCUUCAAGAAGACCGGCAAGCUAAACGUUGAACACAAGGGGAGGGAGCCGUCAAGUGAAGACGAGGACGAACCUCGCUAGACGAACACUGGGGGACAGAAAAAAUUUCCACCAGAGGUCAAAACAGUGAGCAUGAUUUACGCAACCCACAUACCAAAGAGGAAGCACAAACGUGCACUCCGGGACGUAUACGCUGUAAAGCCCGUCGCCCCCAAAUUCAACCCAUGGUUGGCCUGCCCGAUCACUUUCAAUCGCAGGGAUCAUUCGACUAGUAUCCGGCAUGGAGGGACGGCUGCCUUAGUGCUCGACCCAAUAAUUGACGGAUACCAUCUCACCCGAGUCCUCAUGGACGGCGGCAGUAGUAUUAAUCUGAUAUAUCAGGACAAUGUCCGCAAGAUGGGGAUAGACCCGUCAAGAAUCGGCCAAAGCAGCACUACCUUUAAAGGAGUAAUACCAGGCGUAGAGGCCCGCUGCAUGGCUCUCUAACAUUAGAGGUCGUAUUCGCUUCUCCCGACAACUUCCGAAGCGAAGAACUAAUCUUCGACAUUGCUCCGUUCCGAAGCGGUUAUCAUGCACUACUCAGAAGAACGGCCUUCGCUCGUUUCAAUGCAAUACUGCACUACUCUUAUCUCAAACUUAAGAUGCCCGGUCCAAGCGGCAUCAUCACUAUCAGUGGAAACACAGAGCGUUCUCUUCGCGCGGAAGACUACGUGGCGGCUCUAGCAGCCGAACCACUGAACGACCUCUCCACCCCGAAUAACCGAUCGGUCUUCGAGACCACAGACACGGCUAGACGUGUCCGGCGCACCACUAGUUGUAAACAGUCCAGAUAAACCUGAGCUUGAUUAAUGGCUAGGCCCCCACAAGUGGUGCUAGGGGCCGCCCGCAUGCAAAGGGUCCAUAGUUCGGCUGGACCCUAUUAAUACUCAAUAUAUCAAACUCUCAGGGUUCAUUAAGAAUAAUCAACUUUUUGCACGGUCACACCAGAUUCUUUCACCUGGGUUUUUUUCUUUUUACAGAUGACCAUCAUGCUACACCCUUCCAAGAUACGGCACAACGAAGACAAAGGCGCAGACGUGCAGCAGAGCCCCGUUCAAAGCCGCUCUUUUGUCACACCGGAUUAAUGCAGUACCCAGAAAUUCAGGGAUCAUUAUCAAGGGCGGUACUCGGCCCAGUAUAUGUUGAAAAGUCCGAAUACCUUCGAGAGUGUUCGGUGUCGCGAGUUUGGCCUUAUAUGCAUCAGCUCCGAAUCAUGUCUUUGGCCAAUAGUUGGGUUUGCCCGGCUCCCGUGUUUUGCUACCUUACGUUUCGCUCUAUCGGCUAAGGUAGCACCGAGAGAACUACUACAAUUGUGCCCUAGUUCAUUUGGAUGAGCACCUCAGUAGACAAAGCCGAAAACUGACUGUCAUGAUAAAGCGAGAGACUGGUCAACCACUCGAUGACUCAGCGGAAUCUUCACAAUUCCUCCGCAUUAAUGAAGGACCGGUUUCCCAGUCACAUAUGGACACGCACCAUAUUCGGAUGAAUGCGGACAUACCAGGGGCUAUAUAGUAGCCCCACCAUCAAACUCCUAUGGCUAAGUGAAAGUGUUAAAGCUAUAUAGUCUGAUUGCAUCAUUUGGCGCGCCACCACCUCCUUAACGGACCAAGACAUUGGAUCAAGUGUGAUUACGCACUUUGCCAAAUACCCCCGCAUUAUAUGCGAGGGGGCUGAAGCCGACGACUGCAAACUUUCAGGUUAUAUACAUAUAUACAUAAGCGGCCGCACAGGAGGCACUGCAAUACUUUACAGGCAAAAUUAUAAAUAUAGCCUUUAUUAUCAAAAGCAUUGUUUUUACAAUCAAGAUACAUGUCACUGAAACAUGGUAUUCUUUGAGCACUGAGCCUCUAUUAAACGGUCACCUUCUAAGACUUCUUCAAAAUGGUAUUCGGGCGAGUCCUGGCCCCUGGGCGGACCCCCGGUUGCAAUAUCGGUGGCCUCCAUCUUUGCCCAAUACGUCUUAAGACAGGCAAGGGCCAUCCGCGCACCCUCUAUGCACGCCGACCUCUUGACAGCAUCAAUAUGCGGCACAACAUGAAUAAAUUGUUGCACCAAACCAAAAUAACUAUCCGGACUUGGUUCCUUUGGCCACAGGUGGUCCAUGGCGGCCUUCAUGGAAAUCUCGGAUAACCUAUGGAGCUCGGCCCAUUCGGCCAUUUGCUCAUUUAACAGUAGCGGACGCCUUGGAUUACUGAACUGCGACCAGAAUAAUUUUCCUACCCCGUGAUCUUCUCGAUCUUUGAAAUACUCUGUCGCAUCAGCAUCACUCUUUGCUAAAUCCAAGUAUGUGUCUGAGGAACUCCACAAUUGAUCAAGAUGGGCAUACUUUGGAUCGCCGAACUUUGUUCGCAAUAAAAAGGGCUUCCCAGCCGCGAUAUCACCGGCUUGCCGAAGCUCCUCCCGUGCCGCUCUGAUUUCAGAGUGAUUUUCCUUUGCUGCUUGCAAGGCCUUCUUUAGGUCAGCCGUCUUCGUUUGGUUUUCCCUUUCGAGAAGCUCGUAUCGGCUCGCGGCAUUUUGCAGCUCAAGAGCCAUAUUGGCUAUUUUAUCCUUACUUUGGUGAUGAGCAGCCUGUUCGGCUUUUAAUUCUUCGGCUGCCUUCAGGGCAGCCGCAUCACUUCUCCUGGCUUGCUCCUUGGCCCGGGCAAGUUCCGCCCGAAGGGUCUCCACGGCGGCAGCUCCAUCUGCAUUCAAAGCAUAUUAUAAAUCCUAGCAUCAUGCUCUUAUUAAUAUUUUCUGACCACUUAAAUAUACAUACCCUGUGCCUCGUCAAGCCGCUUGUUCACAAGCGUGAUGUCCGCAUCUGCCAUGUCAAGUUGCCGCCUCAGUUCGGCAAAUUCAGCAGUCCGGUUAGCCGACGGAUCUGCAACCGCCUGCAUACAAAAUCAGCGCUAUCAUUACCUGAGACUAUGAUCCUCUGCUCGCCUCGUCCAGAUGGCAACCAGAGUCUCAGGGGCUACUAUCUAUACAAUGUACACCUUGUGUGUAUGGUACAAUCAAAAAAAAUAUCACUUUGUGUACCUCAAAGCCUCUUAGUAGGCUCGUAAAAGCUUCAUUCAACCCGCUUUUUGCCGAUGAUAUCUUCUUAACCACCGUACCCAUUAAGGUACGAUGUGCCUCUGAGAUAGCCGCCUGCUGUAGAAGACCCGUCAAUGCAUCCGGUUGUAUAUCGGACAGUUCGGGGCUUUUCCUAUUGGUCUCUCUAGGAGCCGAAAACCCCGGACUUCGGGCGGCCGAAGAGUUACCUUCUGGUCUUUGCGGAUCAGGAGAGAUCCUCCAGGACGACACCUCAGGAUCAUCCGCCUCAUCGGAAGGAGAGGUGUGAGGAGGUGUUUCGCUCUCCAUCAUCUCCGGAAGAAAAUCCCCCGAUGACGAACAUUGUGAAGGGAGGCUAUGAGCCGAACUGCAAAACAUAUGUCUCGGUUGUUAUUCUCAGGAAAAGAAUGGGGUAUGCUUACUGGACACCUUUGUUCACUUACGGCUCGGUUAACGGCUGGCCCCCCUGUGGGCGUUGUGCAGCAAUGUUGCCCUCUGGGGCAGGGCCCCCUGAUGCAGGUUUCUUCCCUCGUUUGGAGACCUAUGCUUCCAGGUCUUCAGGACCGGUCCUUUUCUUCCCGUGGGGAGAGGGGAUGCUAGAUUUCCUUCCCGUCAUCCUCCGACACGGGGGUGCUAAUUUCCCCGGUUAAGAUGCGUAACGUACCUCCAGUAUGAAGUUCGCUCUUGUCCUCCCCUGAUGUCACUUGAUAAGGUGCGCAAGCCAGCAUCCUGGUUAGUACAGGAUUCGGCGAGUCUUCGGGAAGAGGGGUCGAACACCUGAUCCUCCCCGCCUUUCUUAUCCAGUCCUAGCCGAGGGUGGUUUUUCAUAACGAUGUUGCAACAAAUAUAAUGACAACGUGUUUGGUCGCGAAGUUACUAACCUGGGUGUCUGGAUGGUUGCAGUUGAGGCCCGCAUCCUCUAUUGUGUCCGGACACUUUAUUCGUGAUCCGAAGAAUAAUCGAUACAUCCCUACAAGUGUUACACCGAAGAAGUGUUGAAUGGUUCGCGGUCCUUCCGGGUUAAACUCCCACAUGCGGAGAGAUCGACGUUGGCAUGGCAGGACCCGACAGACUAGCAUUACUUGAAUUACUUUGACGAGAUUAAUAUCCCUCUUGAGGAGAUCCCGAAUGCGGCUUUGCAACAUCGGCACGUCAUUAACCGAUCCCCAGUCCAACCCCUUGUUAACCCAUGAUGCAAGCUGUGGCGGAGGGGCAGAGCGGAAGGCCGGGGCGGUCGCCCACUUACUCCCUCGAGGCACGGUGAUGUAAAACCACUUACGUUGCCAUAAGUUAGAAACUUCCGGGGAAGAGCCCUUUGGCCAUGAAGCAUCGACACCUUUGCUUAUUAUAGCGCUUCCACACUGCGUGUGUCACUCGUCAAUCAUCUUCGGCUUCACAUUGAAGGUCUUGAGCCAUAGGCCAAAGUAUGGGGUAAUGUGGAGAAAGGCCUCGCACACAACAAUGAACGUCGAGAUGUGAAGGAAGGAAUCUGGAGCUAGAUCGUGAAAAUCUAGCCCGUAAUAGAACAUGAGCCCUCUAACGAAGGGAUUAAGACCAAAGCCUAGCCCUCGGAGGAAGUGGUAGAUGAAUACGAAGCUCUCGUUGGGUUUGGGGGUAGGAAUAACCUGCCCUUGAGCAGGAAGCCUGUGAAGGAUUUCAGCGGUUAGAUACCUAGCCUCCCUAAGCUUCUUGAUGUCCUCCUCUGUAACAGAAGAGGCCAUCCACCAGCCUUGAAGGUUGGAUCCGGACAUGGUUGAAGGUUCGGAGCGCUUGGACUAAACCUAGAGUGUUGGAACUCGAGGGGAGGGAAGGGGAGGAUCAGGCGUGGAAAUAAAAGGACAGGUCUUGACCUCUUUAUAUAGAGUAAGAAUAUCAAGCGUCCUCCGCGUGGCCGUUUGGAACUUGCCUAAACGAAGGAGUUGUACCAAUGGGACGGUUGGGUUACCCACGCCCGUAUUGAUGAGAAUCCCGUAAUAAGAGGGACACGAUCUCUGCUUCGACAAGACAUGCCAAUAAAACUGCCUCGCAAGAUGUGCAGUAGCAGGUUGAGAAAACGGUUCGAAUAAUGACCGGGCCGUGGUGUGAUGUCACGCUAUGAAAAGUUGUCAGCUGAUUAGAUUUGUGGAAUAUUGUGCUCUCUAUGGUGGUAUGUGGAAUUUGUUUUGCAGAGUCGGACGCGAUUCUUGUGUUCAAAAUCUUCUUCGGAGUAUUUGGAGAAGGAACCCGCCUUGCAAUGCCGAAGACAAUCUGCGCGCCGGACUCGCCGUACUCAUCAUAGUAGCCUGGUUCGGGGGCUACUGAGGGAGUCCUGGAUUAGGGGGUCCUCUGACAGCCGGACUAUAUACUUAUGUCGGACUGUUGGACUAUGAAGAUACAAGACUAAAGACUUCGUCCCGUGUCCGGGUGGGACUCUCCUUUGCGUGGAAGGCAAGCUUGGCAAUUCGGAUAUGUAGAUCUCCUUCUCUGUGACCGACUUUGUGUAACCCUAGCCCCCUCUGGUGUCUAUAUAAACUAGAGGGUCUAGUUCGUAGGACAACAACAAUCAUAAUCGUAGGCUAGCUUCUAGGGUUAGCCUCUGCGAUCUCGUGGUAGAUCAACUCUUGUAAUACUCAUAUCAUCAAGAUAAAUCAAGUAGGAAGUAGGGUAUUACCUCCAUAGAGAGGGCCCGAACCUGGGUAAACAUUGUGUCCCCCGCCUCCUGUUACCAUUAGCCUUAGAUGCACAGUUCGGGACCCCCUACCGGAGAUCCGUCGGUUUUGACACCAACACUCGCCAAUUGCCUUCCUCUUCUCCGCGGCGGGCCGACGGAGAUGUUCUUUAACGGGUUUUGCUUCUGGGUCGACUCACAAAUGGUGCUCAGCCAGUCCCCUGGGUACACUCGACAUGUCUGAUGGUUUCCAUGCGAAGAUGUCCCAGUUCUCACGGAGGAACUGGAUGAGUGCUUCUUCCUAUUUGCUGUCGAGUGUUGUUGAGAUAUGAGUCGGAGAAGCAUUGAGAUCGGUCGGGUGAAUGUGAACUGGUUUUGUUUCACCAAACGACUGAAAUGCAGACUCUGAAGCAGGCUUCUUGGCACACAACAAAUCACUCAGAUAUGCAUUCUUCUAGUAUUCUUGCAUCUCUACUGCUGCCAUCUGUUCAUCGGCGGUCUUUGAGACCUUAUGGAGGCACUCUUCUGCUCUCUGCCGAUUUCCAGUGACUGUGAUCACGCCUCUGGGGCCAGGCAUCUUCAACUUGAGGUACACGUAACAUGGUCGAGCCAUGAAACGAGCAUAUGCAGGCCUGCCUAGAAUAGCAUGGUAGGCACUGUCAAAAUCCACCACCUCAAACGUCAACUUCUCCUUGCGGUAAUUCUUAGAAUUGCUGAAAACCACAUCAAGAGUGAUCUGACUGAGUGAAUCAGCUUUCUUUCCUGGGAUGACUCUGUGGAAUCACAUGUUGCUCUCACUGAGCUUGGACAUCGGAAUGUCCAUCCCUCGGAGGGCCUCAGCGUACAGAAUAUUCAAACCACUGCCACCGUCCAUCAAAACCUUGGUCAGUCAAGUGCCCCCAAUGACUAGUUCGACCACCAAUGCUUGCCGCCCAGGGAUAGCAACAUGUGCUGGGUGGUCGGACUGGUCGAAUGUAAUGGGAUUUUUUGACCACUUCAAAUAUGUCGUUGUUGCCGGAGCAACCAUUUUCACUUCUCUAUUGAUAACUUUCAGACGACUUUUGCUCUCGAGGUCAGCAAAAAUCACUAAAGUGGCAUUGACGUUGGGGUAACUGUCAUCUUCCUCUUUGUCAUCCUCCUUAUCGGACUCUUUUUCCUUUUCACUGCGCUGACCCUCUCGGAAACUCUGAAUCAUGAGUCGACACUGUCGAGUGGUAUGCUUGGGAACAAUCAAGUUUCCCUCUUCAUAUUUUUGUUGUUGUGUAUAUGACACGGUAAAUCAAGCACAUCAUUUCCCGCUUGAUAUUUCACUUUUUGGGGGGUCCAAGGCCCUUUAGGCUUCCCCUUGAACUUCCCUUGAUUCAAAACUGCUGCCUUAGCAGGACCUGCGGGGUCAGUGACGAGGGUACAGACCUGGGGUAGGGUCAUAUGCCUGACCUAUACGUCCUACCCAAGGUCACUACCCCAGAAGAUAAGAAGACCAAGAAUCCACUCGACAGUAUAAUCACUCGACCGUCAGUCCCCACUUUCACACGACAGUGUAUGGGGAAUGACUCGACCGUAUUGAAGACCAGGAGUCGGAAGAGCGCGCAACGGCCAGGCAUUCAUUCCUUAGUCUUCAUGAGCAUUAAGAGUACUAAAUACUGGCGUUACCAGUAAUGCCCUACUUUAUGUACAUUAGUUCCCUUGUAAUGGAGGGGGGCCGGGGUCCUGGCGCACUCUAUAUAAGCCACCCCCCCUCCUCUGGCACAAGGGUUUGCACCCUCUGUAAUUCAACACACAUAAUCCAAUCGACCGCCUCCGGGCACCGAGACGUAGGGCUAUUACUUCCUCCGAGAAGGGCCUGAACUCGUAAACAUCUCGUGUACAUCUUCGCCAUAGCUAAAAUCUUGCCUCUCCAUACCUACCCCCUCUUUCUACUGUCAGACUUAGAACCACGACAGUCAGCUUUGCGUUUCUGCUUCCGACUGGAAUUUCCUCCUCCGGUGUCCUGGGCAAAUGAUUUGUUCUUGCCGCUCCGGAGUCAGUCUUCUUCUUCGCCUUUAGCAUACCGAGUGGCUAUCUCCACCAUCCGAGUCAGAGACAUGUCCCCAGUCCGACCGAACUUCAAGUUGAGCUCUCUGUAGCGGACACCUUCUUUAAAGGCGUAGACUGCUUGAUGCUCUGACACAUUCUCCACUGUAUGAUGAAGGGUAGUCCAACUCUGGAUAUAGUCUCUCAAAGUCUUAUUCUAUUUCUAAACACGAUGUUGCAAUUCGGCCAAACCAGCAGAUCGCUUGCAAGUGCCCUCGAAUAUUUUGGUAAACACUCGGGCUAACUCUUCCCAACUGAAAAUGCUCCCAGGGGCCAAUUGAUUCAACCAAGCUCUGGCGGAACCCUCAAGAAUCAAUGGGAGGUGUUCCAUGGCGACUUCAUCAUUGCCACCACCAAUGUGCACUGCCACUCGGUAAUCCUCCAACCAAGUGUCGGGCUUCGACUCUCCGGUGAACUUACUUAUGCCCGUCGCCAACCUAAAGUUGUGAGGGAUCUCAGUAGCUCGAAUGGCUCUUCCGAAGCACUCGGGGCCGGAAACAUGCACUCUUCUUCCACUGGGUCGAUCUCUGUCCAGUCCUUCUCUGUAUGCUCUAUUUCUGUCGACCAAACCUUGCACGAGGAGUGAUGUUGCCUCGAACCCAGGCUCUCUUGGGUCGACUGGAACUCUGCGGUCAUUACCAUACGGGCCCCUAUCAUCAUACCGCCGGGGCGCGUAUGACCCGCCCCUCGGAGGGGGUGAAGGCACUCGACGGUGGUUGUCACAGGCAUACUCAUGAUCAAAUUCUCCGUGGGCUCUUCCCAGGUGCCAAUCUCGACGGUGAUCAUGAUCUUCAUGUCGCAAAGGUGACCCAGGAGUGUGCGCCGACUGAACUGUCUCUGUCCACACUGAUGAUACGUCUCCAACGUAUCUAUAAUUUUUGAUUGCUCCAUGCUACUUUAUCUACUGUUUUAGGCAAUAUUGGGCUUUAUUAUCCACUUUUAUAUUAUUUUUGGGACUAACCUAUUAACCGGAGGCCCAGCCCAGAUUUGCUGUUUUAUGCCUAUUUCAGUGUUUCGAGGAAAAGGAAUAUCAGACGGAGUCAAAACGGAACGAAAUCAACUGGAGAAGUUAUUUUUGGAAGGAAACCCACCUGAUGGACUUGGACCCCACGUCAGAAGAUACAGGAGGUGCUCACGAGGGCGCGCCCUCCCCCUUGGGCGCGCCCCCUGCUUCAUGGGGCCCCCGUAGCUCCACCGACGUUCUCCCUACACCCAUAUAUACCUAUGUACCCUAAAACUUCCAGAACAGAAGAUAGAUCGGGAGUUCCGCCGCCGCAAGCCUCUGUAGCCACCAAAAACCAAUCGGACCCCAUUCCGGCACCCUGCCGGAGGGGGAUCCCAUCACCGAAGGCCAUCUUCAUCAUCCCGGCGCUAUCCAUGACGAGGAGGGAGUAGUUCACCCUCGGGGCUGAGGGUGUGUACCAGUAGCUAUGUGUUUGAUCUCUCUCUCUCGUGUUCUCUCUUGUGUUCCAUCUAUGGCACGAUCUUGAUGUAUCCCAAGCUUUGCUAUUGUAGUUGGAUCUUAUGAUGUUUCUCCCCCUCUACUCUCUUGUGAUGAAUUGAGUUUCCCCUUUUGAAGUUAUCUUAUUGGAUUGAGUCUUUUAUGAACACUUGAUGUAUGUCUUGCGUGGGAUAACUGUGGUGACAAUGGGUUAUUCUAUUGAUCCACUUGAUGUAUGUUUUAGUGAUCAACUUGCGGGUUUCGUGACACUUGGGAACCUAUGCAUAGGGGUUGGCACACGUUCUUGACUCUCCGGUAGUAGCUUUGGGGCACUCUUUGAAGUACUUUUAUGUUGGUUGGAUGAAUCUGAGAUUGUGUGAUGCAUAUCAUAUAAUCAUGCCCACGGAUACUUGAGGUGACAAUGGAGUAUCUAGGUGACAUUAGGGUUUUGGUUGAUUUGUAUCUUAAGGUGUUAUUCUAGUACGAACUCUUUUAUAGAUUGAUCCAAAAGAAUAGCUUUGUGGUGGUUUCGUACCCGGCCAUAAUCUCUACGUUUGUUCUCCGCUAUUAGUGUCUUUGGAGUGACUCUUUGUUGCAUGUUGAGGGCUUGUCAUAUGUUCUAUCUAUGUUAUUAUUGUUGAGAGAACUUACACUAGUGAAAGUAUGAACCCUAGGCCUUGUUUUCUAUCAUUGCAAUACCAUUUACGCUCACUUUUACCACUUGUUACAUUGCUGUUUUUAUAUUUUCAGAUUACAAAAACCUAUAUCUACUAUCUAUUUUGCACUUGUAUCACUAUCUCUUCGCCGAACUAGUGCACCUAUACAAUUUACCAUUGUAUUGGGUGUGUUGGGGACACAAGAGACUUUUUGUUAUUUGGUUGCAGGGUUGUUUGAGAGAGACCAUCUUCAUCCUACGCCUCCUAUGGAUUGAUAAACCUUAGGUCAUCCACUUGAGGGAAAUUUGCUACUGUCCUACAAACCUGAGCACUUGCAGGCCCAACAACGUCUACAAGAAGAAGGUUGUGUAGUAGACAUCAAGCUCUUUUCUGGCGCCGUUUCCGGGGAGGCUAGGUAAGUGAAGGUAUAUCUUUAGAUCUUGCAAUUGAAUGUUUUUGUUUCUUGUUUUAGCACUAGUCUAGUUUAUAAAAGAAAAUUACAAAAAAAAUGGAGUUGAGUUUGUCUCAUACGCUUCACCUUUUUAAUAUCUUUCGUGAGUAUGAUGGAAAGGAUAAUUGUGCUCAAGUACUAGAAUAAGAAAUCUAUAGAAUGUUUUUAUAUGAUGAGCAUGAUUGCAAUGUUGUUAGUAUGAAUUCUUUGAAUAUCCAUGAUGCUAAUGAUAUGCAAAGCCACAAGCUUGGGGAAGCUAUGUUUGAUGAAUAUGAUAUAUUUUGUCCCCCAAGCUUUGAUGAACAAAUUUACUAUGAUGAAAGCAUGCCUCCUAUCUAUGAUGAUUAUUGUGAUGAUACGUAUGCUAUAAAGAAGAAGUUUGCUUAUGAAGAGAGUAUUAAAUUUUCUAUGCUAGUAGAUCAUGAAAAGAAUGCUUUAGGUGCUGGUUAUAUUGUUGAAUUCAUUCAUGAUUCUACUGAAAAUUAUUAUGAGAGAGGAACAUAUGCUUGUAGGAAUUGCAAUAAUGUCAAGUUUCCUCUCUAUGUGCUUAAAUUCUUGAAGUUAUGCUUGUUGUGCCAUCCUAUGCUAGUUGAUUAUUGUUCCCAUAAGUUGUUUGCUCACAAAAUCCCUAUGCAUAGGAAGUGGGUUAGACUUAAAUGUGCUAGUCAUGUGCUUCAUGAUGCUCCCAUUAUGUUUCAAUUCUUAUCUUUUAUGUGAGCAUCAUUGCCAUCAUCAUGCCUAGCUAAAAGGCAUUAAAGAAAAGCGCUUGUUGGGAGACAACCCAAUAUGUAUCCUUACUGUUUUUGCGUGUCCACGUGAUUAUUCUACUGUAGUAAUCAUGUUUUAUAGCUUUUGUUUCAAUAAAGUGCCAAGUAGAACCUUUGGGAAGACUUGGGUGAAGUUUAUGUGAUCUUGCUGUGAAAAACAGAAACUUUAGCGCUCACGAGAAUAGCUGCCAUUUUUUACUGGAGAGUGCUUUUAGGUUGAUUAUUUUUGCAGAUGAUUAAUAGACAAAUUUCUAAGGUCCAGAAAUUUAUUUCAUAAUUUUUGGGGUUCCAGAAGUAUACGUUUUAUACAGAUUAAUACAGACUGUUCUGUUUUUGGCAGAUUCUGUUUUCUAUGUGUUGUUUGCUUAUUUUGAUGAAUCUAUGAGUAGUAUCGGAGGGUAUGAACCAUAGAUAAGUUAGAGUACAGUAGAUAUUACAAGAAUAUGAAUUUAGAAUGAGUUCAUUACAGUACCUAAGUGGUGGUUUUAUUUUCUUAUACUAACGGAGCUUACGAGUUUUGUGUUGAGUUUUGUGUGGUUGAAGUUUUCAAGUUUUGGGUAAAGAUUCGAUGGACUAUGGAAUAAGGAGUGGCAAGAGCCUAAUCUUGGGGAUGCCCAAGGCACCCCAAGGUAAUAUUCAAUGACAACCAAGCAACUAAGCUUGGGGAUGCCCCGGAUGGCAUCCCCUCUUUCGUCUUUGUUCAUUGGUAACUUUACUUGGAGUUAUAUUUUUAUUCACCACAUGAUAUGUGUUUUGCUUGGAGCGUCAUUUUCUUUUGUUAAGUUUUUGCUUGCUGUUAGUUAGAAUAGUGUUUUGCAUCUUUAGUUUCAAAGUCAAGGAUAGCCUUUGCCAUGCUUAUUUUGCUAGUUUACGUGUUGUUGUUUGAAAAACAGAAAGUUUACCGCUGUUGCAAAAAUUCCCUAGAAAAGUCAGAGCAUGGUCUAACAUUGAAUCUUUUUGAAUAUUGAGCUCUAAUAAAUUUAUUACAGUGGGAAUUUUAGUUCAUAAUUUUUGGAGUCAGGGAAGUAUUGAUACUCUUGCAUUCUUUACAGACUGUACUGUUUUGACAGAUUGCUGUUAUGGUUGCAUUGUUUGCAUAUGUUUGCUUGUUUAAUGAUUCUAUUUGAUGAUAGGAGUAUUAAAUAUGCAGAGGAAUUUAGUAUGCAAUGUUGAAUAAUAAUUUAAGUGAUUUGUUACAGUAGAAUAUGAUAAGGUUUUGCAUUGGUUUAUACUAACCUAUCUCACGAGUUCUUGUUGAGUUUGUUGUGAAUGAAGCUUUUGAUAAAAAGAGAAACCAUGAUAUGAGAGGAAUUAAGGAGACACAAAAGUUCAAGCUUGGGGAUGCCCAAGGCACCACAAGAUAAUAUUUCAAGAAGUCUCAAGCAUCUAAGCUUGGGGAUGCCCCGGUAGGCAUCCCACCUUUCUUCUUCAACAACUAUCGGUUAGUAUUGGUUGAGCCUAAGUUUUUGCUUCUUCACAUGAGUUGUGCUAUCCUUGCAUUGCAGUUUUCUUUAGCUUUGCUUGCUGUUUGAAUGAAGUAUCAAGAUAUGAAAUUCUUUAAUGAGAGAGAGCCUUACAUGAAUUGGAAUUUGCUAGAAUACUCUUUGUGCUUCACUUAUAUCUUUUGAGCUUGAUAGUUUUGCUCAUAGUGCUUCACUUAUAUCUUUUGAGCGUGAUAAUUUUUGCUCUAGUGCUUCACUUAGAUCUUUUAGAGCACGGUGGUGGAUUUGUUUUAAAGAAACUUGAUCUCUCAUGCUUCACUUAGAUUAUUUUGAGAGUCGCUAAUAGCAUGGUAAUUUUCUUAAUGUUAAUAUACUUGGUGUUCAAGAUAUGUGAAACUUUCUUUUUGAGUGAAUUAAAUUAAGUUUGAUGCUUGAUAAUUGUUUUGAGAUAUGGAGGUGAUAAUAUCAAAGUCGUGCUAAUUGAAUAGUUGUGAAUUUGAGAAAUACUUGUGUUGAAGUUAGCAAGUCCCGUAGCAUGCACAUAUGGUUAAAGUUGUGUAACAAAUUUGAAACAUGAAGUGUACCUGGCUUGUGCAUCCUUAUGAGUGGCAGUCGGGGACGAGCGAUGGUCUUUUCCUAACAAUCUAUCCCCCUAGGAGCAUGCGUGUAGUACUUGAUUUUUGAAGACUCCUAAAUUUUUGCAAUAAGUAUAUGAGUUCUUUUGACUAAUGUUGAGUCCAUGGAUUAUAUGCACUUUUACCUUUCCGCCAUUGCUAGCCUCUUCGGUACCGUGCAUUGUCUUUCUCACAUUGAGAAUUGGUGCAAACUUCGCCGGUGCAUCCAAACCCCGUGAUAUGAUACACUCUUUCACACAUUAACCUCCUUAUAUCUUCCUCAAAACAGCCACCAUACCUACCUAUUAUGGCAUUUCCAUAGCCAUUCCGAGAUAUAUUGCCAUGCAACUUUCCACCGUUCCGUUCAUCAUGACAUACUUUACUUUUGUCAUAUUGCCAUUGCAUGAUCAUGUAGUUGACAUCGUAUUUGUGGCAAAGCCACCAUGCAUUAUUUUUCAUACAUGUCACUCUUGAUUCAUUGCACCAUCCCGGUACACCGCCGGAGGCAUUCAUAUAGAGUCAUAUCUUUGUUAUAGAUGUCGAGUUAUAAUAUCGAGUUGUAAGAAAAAUAAAAGUGUGAUGAUCAUCAUUAUUAGAGCAUUGCCCUAGUGAGUAAAAGGAUGAUGGAGACUAUGAUUCCCCCACAAGUCGGGAUGAGACUCCGGACGAAAAAAAAAGAGAAAGGCCAAAAAAAGAGAAGGCCCAAAAAAUGAGAGAAAAAGAGAGAAGGGGCAAUGUUACUAUCCUUUUACCACACUCGUGCUUCAAAAUAGCACCUUGUUCUUCAUGUAGUGAGUCUCAUAUAUUUGUGCUUCAAAGUAGCACCAUGUUUUUCAUAUAGUGAAUCUCAUAAAUUGUCUUGUUUAUACUAGUGGGAAUUUUUCAUUAUAGAACUUGGCUUGUAUAUUCCAAUGAUGGGCUUCCUCAAAAUGCCCUAGGUCUUCGUGAGCAAGCGAGUUGGAUGCACACCCACUAGUUUUCUUUUGUUGAGCAUUCAUAGCUCUAGUGCAUCCGUUGCAUGGCAAUCCCUACUCCUCAUGUUGACAUCAAUUGAUGGGCAUCUCCAUAGCCCGUUGAUUAUCCUCGUCAAUAUGAGACUUUCUCCUUCUUUUGUCUUCUCCACACAAUCCCCAUCAUCAUAUUCUAUUCCACCCAUAGUGCUAUAUCCAUGGCUCGCGCUCAUGUAUUGCGUGAAGGUUGAAAGAGUUUGAGAUUAUUUGAGUAUGAAACAAUUGCUUGGCUUGUCAUCGGGGGUAUAGAAGUUGGGAACAUCUUUGUGUGACGAAAAUGAAGCAUAUCCUAACUAUAUGAUUUUGUAGGGAUAAACUUUCUUUGGCCAUGUUAUUUUGAGAUGACAUACUUGUUUGAUUAGUAUGCUUGAAGUAUUAUUAUUUUCAUGUCAAUAUGAACUUUUAUCUUGAAUCUUUCGGAUCUGAAUAUUCAUGCCAUGAUUAAGAAGAUUUACAUUGAAAUUAUGCCAAAGUAUCACUCCGCAUCAAAAAUUCUUCUUUUUAUUAUUUACCUACUCGAGGACGAGUAGGAAUUAAGGUUGGGGAUGCUUGAUACGUCUCCAAUGUAUCUAUAAUUUUUUAUUGCUCCAUGCUACUUUAUCUACUGUUUUAGGCAAUAUUGGGCUUUAUUAUCCACUUUUAUAUUAUUUUUGGGACUAACCUAUUAACUGGAGGCCCAGCCCAGAUUUGUUGUUUUAUGCCUAUUUCAGUGUUUCGAGGAAAAGGAAUAUCAGACGGAGUCAAAAUGGAACGAAAUCAACUGGAGAAGUUAUUUUUGGAAGGAAACCCACCUGAUGGACUUGGACCCCACAUCAGAAGAUACGGGAGGUGCUCACGAGGGUGGGGUGCGUGCCCUCCCCCCUGGGCGCGCCCCCUGCCUCGUGGGGCCCCCAUAGCUCCAUCGACGUUCUCCCUGCACCCAUAUAUACCUAUGUACCCUAAAACUUCCAGAACAGAAGAUAGAUCGGGAGUUCCGCCGCCGCAAGCCUCUGUAGCCACCAAAAACCAAUCGGGACCCCGUUCCGGCACCCUGCUGGAGGGGGAUCCCAUCACCGGAGGCCAUCUUCAUCAUCCCGGCGCUAUCCAUGAUGAGGAGGGAGUAGUUCACCCUCAGGGCUGAGGGUGUGUACCAGUAGCUAUGUGUUUGAUCUCUCUCUCUCGUGUUCUCUCUCGUGUUCCAUCUAUGGCACGAUCUUGAUGUAUCCCGAGCUUUGCUAUUGUAGUUGGAUCUUAUGAUGUUUCUCCCCCUCUACUCUCUUGUGAUGAAUUGAGUUUCCCCUUUUGAAGUUAUCUUAUUGGAUUGAGUCUUUUAUGAACACUUGAUGUAUGUCUUGCGUGGGAUAACUGUGGUGACAAUGGGUUAUUCUAUUGAUCCACUUGAUGUAUGUUUUGGUGAUCAACUUGCGGGUUUCGUGACACUUGGGAACCCAUGAAUAGGGGUUGGCACAUGUUCUUGACUCUCCGGUAGUAGCUUUGGGGCACUCUUUGAAGUACUUUUAUGUUGGUUGGAUGAAUCUGAGAUUGUGUGAUGCAUAUCGUAUAAUCAUGCCCACGGAUACUUGAGGUGACAAUGGAGUAUCUAGGUGACAUUAGGGUUUUGGUUGAUUUGUAUCUUAAGGUGUUAUUCUAGUACGAACUCUUUUAUAGAUCGAUCCGAAAGAAUAGCUUUGUGGUGGUUUCGUACCCGACCAUAAUCUCUACGUUUGUUCUCCGCUAUUAGUGCCUUUGGAGUGACUCUUUGUUGCAUGUUGAGGGCUUGUCAUAUGUUCUAUCUAUGUUAUUAUUGUUGAGAGAACUUACACUAGUGAAAGUAUGAACCCUAGGCCUUGUUUCCUAUCAUUGCAAUACCAUUUACGCUCACUUUUACCACUUGUUACCUUGCUGUUUUUAUAUUUUCAGAUUACAAAAACCUAUAUCUACUAUCUAUUUUGCACUUGUAUCACCAUCUCUUCGCCGAACUAGUGCACCUAUACAAUUUACCAUUGUAUUGGGUGUGUUGGGGACACAAGAGACUUUUUGUUAUUUGGUUCCAGGGUUGUUUGAGAGAGACCAUAUUCAUCCUACGCCUCCUAUGGAUUGAUAAACCUUAGGUCAUCCACUUGAGGGAAAUUUGCUACUGUCCUACAACCUGUGCACUUGCAGGCCCAACAACGUCUACAAGAAGAAGGUUGUGUAGUAGACAUCAACUGACUGCUGUGGAUUCUGUUGCCCGACUGAGAAACGGCUGAGUUUUGCUCUCCUGCUGCCCGGAGCAGCGCUUGGAUCUGCAUCAAGCCUCUUCCAGCCUCUGAACGGGACAGCUAAAUAGAUUCUGCUAUACGUGCAGCAGUUGUAAGAUUCUGGAUCGGAGUGUGGUAUACAUGGGGUUCAGGUGGAAACAACUACCGUUGUCGUCGACUGGAUUCGAGGAUCAGUCGAUGGGCGCGUUCGUUGAGAGAAUGUUGGAGGUUCUCCAGACGUGUGUGCUCGGCCAAAGUGGCCAAGCGCGCAGCCUCCAAGGCCCGAGCCUCGGAAUUCUCCCCCACGAUAGGGGUCUGGAGCGCCUCCAUGUUGCUGCGGUGCAACUCUUCCCUCUACUGUGAAUUGAGAGAUUGGGGCUCGUACUCAUCAUGAUCAUACGAUGGGCCAUCAUCGUCGUUGUUGCCGCCGUUGCGGAGAAACCCGGGUGGGCUGCGACGAGAGUCGACCAUGAGAACUUCCGUCGCGGGCCACUGCUCCCGCGCUCGGAAAGAGUAUCCGCGGAGCCAGUUGACAGGUCGAAUGGUCCAUAGAGAAAUUCGCCGGGCUCAAUCACCACGACUUGAGGGGUGGCCGACUGGCAGGCCACUGCAUGCUUUACCCACCGCUGGAUCCGCGACCGACCGGAUUGCUUGCGGCGGCGGCCAGCAGAGUGAGUGGAUGAUGCAGGAGCCGACCGAUACGGGGUCGACAGCUGCCGCAGAAGGACGUCGCAGGCACUCGUGCAGAAGUGCGAUGCCCCGCGGAUCGAAAGAGUCUCGACAUCGAGGGGGGCUUCUUGAAGCCAAGCGGAGUCGCCAGGGAUGAAAACGAGUGCGCCGAGUCGGAUCUCUCGGCCCACAGCCAAGCCACCGCCGGAAACCAUGAUGAUGGAGAUCGGAAAAAUUGCAACCUCACCGGAAGUUGCCAAGACGCUUUGCCCCACGGUGGGCGCCAACUGUCGUGGUACUAAGUCUGACUGUAAGAGUAGGGUGUACGUAUAAGCAGGCAAGGUCCUUGCUACGGCGAGGUUGUACACACGAGUUUAUGAGUUCAGGCCCCUCUCGGGGGAGGUAAAAGCUCUACGUCUCGGUGCCCUGAGGCGGUCGACUGGAAUAUGGGUGUGUGUGUGUGUUACAAGGGGUGUGAACCCUUAUGCUAGAGGAGGGGGGCGGCUUAUAUAGAUGCGCCAGGACCCCAGCCAUCCCCCGUUACAGGGUUCAUGUACAUUAAGACAGGGCGUUACUGGUAACGCCAGCUAUAAAGAGCUAUUAAUGAUCUUUAAGACUACGGAGUGAACGCCUGACAGUUGCCAUCCUGAGUGACUCUAGGUCUUCUGCUCUCCGAGUGGUUUCUUGUAUGGUCAAGUGACUUCAUCUUGGUCGAAUGGAAUUGGGGUAUCCGAGUGAGGUAGUUGGUCAAGUGGAUUGCACUCCAAGGUUACUCCAGUCGGUAUCUCUUGUUACACUUUGAAUGUUCUUGAUUCUAGGGUAGUGACCUUGGGUAGGGCGUCUAGGUCAGGCCUAUGACCCUACCCUAGGUCCAUAGCAUUGUCAGUGCUAUUUCAUGGAAGUCUUGCAAGCAGACGAUCUUAACGAGAUCGACUAUGAAAGUAGAACUCACAACAUUAGACACAUCAUGCAUCGAAGGAGAAUAGCUUCGAGAGUUUUUGAUGGAUUUGCCAGUGGUUGAUAAGCCAGUUCCAGCUAUCCUUAUGAACUGUGAGAAUCAUGCAGUGAUUGUCAAGGCAAAGAGUUCAAAGGACAACAUGCAAUCCUCAAAGCAUAUAAGAAGAUUGAAAUCUACCAGGCAAUCAAGAAACUCCAGAGUAAUACGUUGGAUUAUAUCCAGACGGGUAAGAAUCUGGCAGAUCCAUUUACAAAAGGGCUAUCACGAAUUGUGAUAGAAAAUGCAUCAAGGGAGAUGGACAUGAGACCCACCUGAGUUGCCAUAGGGGUAACCCAACCCAUGUGAUCAGAGAUCCCGUGAACUGGGACUUGGAAAAAUGAUCCAGCGGUCAACUAAGGUGAGUAUCCUUACAAACCCAUUCCAUUGGAUAUGCAAUACCCUCGAUCAAUAAGGCAGGCUGACUUUUGCCUUAAUGUCUUCCAAAUCUUGUGUAAGCAAGAUGCUAUCCUACAUGACAUUCUUUGGAGGAACACACCUAUGUGAGCCCGACUGCUGGUUGCAGCCUAUGAGAUUGAGUAAUCUCUAGGAAGCUCAUGAGAAGGUCGGGAGUAUGACAAAUAAGCUCCAUCCGUGAAAUUUAGCCUUCGGCAGCCAUGUAUCAGUUGACAAUAGGCGAAACUUAUGCAUGCCAAGCUGACAAUUCAAGACAUAGUUCAUUGUUCAAUUGUGAAGAAGUCCAAUCUUGUUGCUCUAUGUGGAAGUUCAGUUUAACAGUCUCCACCAAAAAUUCUGGUAUAUCAAACAUUGUUUGGAACAGUUGACAAACUUAUGUGCAUCAAGAUCUGAUGGGGGAUUGUUGAAUCAUAGAUGCGCUUUAGGCCCAUAUGAACAAUGAUUUCUGGUUAAUCUUGAGGCCAUGUGGCAGUUGAUGGGAAGUUUAGUACCACAUUGCUAGUUGAGGAGAAUUGAAUCCCCUUUAUAAGGGUUUCUAUACCACUUGCCAUUGGGAUCUUGGAAAGAGGAGAUGUACACGCGCUCCUCCUCCAUUGCCGCCCGCCUCGACACGACGCGCGUGCGCGUGCCAUGGGUUGCGGGAAUGUGCCGAGACGUUGGACCGUGGGUUGUUUGUGUUCCCGGGAUACGCCGACUCCCUUCACGGGUGUGCGACCCUUCUCCGGGAACGACGACUCCCUUCCCGGGGUUGCGUCGACUUGGUCGUGGGUCUAAGCCCAGGCCCACGACUUCCUACCCGAUGGCCUAUAUAAGGAGGCACUGGCCUGUGGAGUGAAACCUAACUCACUCAUUCACUCCCUACAUAACCUUAGCCGCCAUAUACUUUUCCUCCCACUAUGCUGCUUCCGAUGAUCCCAUCACGACGACCGCGUGCACGGUUGGUCGGGAGAGCAGGUCAUCUGGAACCCUGUCAUUUGAGAUACUGCCUGGGAGAACGACAAAUAAGGUUUUUGGGGAGCGUCUCGACGCGACUGCUCCCGAUCCAUCCCCGUCUCAUCCGCCUUUGCUUCCACUAUUUCCUCUGCAUUGACUCCAUGGCUGACAAUGAAACUGCCAAGAAGAAGGCCUCGAACACGGCGACCUGACCAACCGGAGGGUAUGACUCAUCCAUCCCCUUUUUGCUCGUUCAUGUGCUAGUCAUAUAUGUUUUGUUCAUAAAUGUAUCGCUUCUAUGUACUGUAUGUGCUCACAUACUUAGGUGUCGGUAUGAUCCGCAUACUGUGAUUGCCAUGCUUAUUAUCUACUCGUGAGGUUGGGUCCUCCGUCCUCCUCCGUGCUUCUUCUCGGGCUCGUCUUCCUCGCAGUUCAAGCGUCGGCGUUCUCCGGCCUCUAGCCCUGGAUCUACCUUGACGGGGUUGGGGGCGGCAUCCUGCCUCCUCCUCCGCCUCCUCCACGCCAAAAUGCCAAACCCCCAAAUCCUCCUGCCUACCUCACCUGCUUUGCUUGCCAUCAACCAGGGAACUUUCAGUCCAGAUGCCUCAACCCCUCGUUUUGUCUGAUCUAUAGAUCUGAUGGUCAUCUGACUAUGGACUGCCAGAACCACACCAAGCCUCCCGCCUUUGUUCACUUUGGAACAGGCCUCCCUGGUUGCUCAUUCUUUGCGUUGGACAGUGAUUUUCCCCUAGUCGUAGCAGCCCCAUCGCUCUCAAAUGUUGCUAUUGUCUUGGUCCAGGACCAGAAAAUCUCCCCGCAUACCCUACUGGAGGGCUUGCGGAUCUGGGAUGAGGGGGCUGGGAUUGGCAAGUUCGCCAGCUCUUUGAUUAUGAGUUCACUGUGGUGUUUCCCUCCAAGGACUGUUUGAGAAUGAUCUCGUCGUGCACAAGUUUCACCCUCCCCUACAAUCAGUUGGUGGUGUUAGUAAAGGCGGCGAUGUGUGGUGCCAAAGCGGUGGGACCGCUUUCCCAAAUUUGGGUGUUGGUGGCUGGUGUCCCAGCUGGGUUGCGUUUGAUUCCAUUCAUGACGGCAUUUGGUGUCCUGAUUGACAAGCAUGCUGAGGUCGACCCGGAAUCCCUAGAGAAGAUUGGACCGGUGCAUAUCAAAGUCUGGUGUGUGGAUCCGGUCUGUGUUCGUGGCACGCUUCAUGUUUUUCCCUCCUCCGAUGGUGUUCGGUUGCGGGUUCGAGCCGAGGGUGCUGAGGUGUUCCAGGCCCCUCCUCCUCCACCUUCUCCCAGCUCUGCCAAUCCAGAUCAAGACAAGCAAGGUGAUGGUUUGAUGGGUGGGCAAAACCCUAGCGGUGGUACUGAGCCUCACUUCACUCAGUCCGAAUGGGAUGGCCUGGAUCCAGAUGUUUGCGAGCUUUUCAAGACCAAUGCUCCGGUGGGUGCAGCCCAGAGGGAUGGGUUGGAUGCUUCUGCUAAGGGAGGGAUGACCCAGGAGGCUGCAAGCCAUGGAAAAAAUGUUUCCACGGGCACCCCUAUCUCGGGGGCCUGUUCCAAUCUGCAUGCCCGUCCUCUAUCUCCUAUGUUCUCUGCGAUUGAAGACUUGCCUCCGUCGCUCCCCCCACAUCCUUCCGAACCAAGCUUGACCAAGAAGAAGAAGAAGACCUCUGUCAGAAAAUUCUCGGCCAAGAGUAGGGCCUCCUCGGGCUCAAAGCAAUCGAUGACGAGCAUAUGCCACCGUCUGGAUAAGGACCUGGGGGCUGCGUCUGCUUCCGGCCCCACCUCGGCUUCACCUGCAGCUCGCUCCCCUCUGCUCCGCUCGCCUGCAUCGACGACACGCAAGGGGCGGCGCAUUCGGGAUUCGGGCGAGCGGUGGCUCUACGGGUGGAGCGACAUGCUGCGGCCAAGGAUCUCCCCUCCCCCCCCCAAGUAUGGUGCCUCAUCCCCCUUCCUCACCUAUUCAUCUUGUUUUGCCUUCGCUUUCAGAUGAUCAUUUCUUGCAUAUCUUAUCGGAUGUGGGUGUUUCUUUUGAUCCUGGUGUUGGGUCUCCCUUGCUCAUUCUCUCCACCAUCAGGGCUAAUGAGUUGGCUCAAGCGGCCAUUGCCAAGGCCAAGGAGGCCACAACGGCUGAGGCCACCGGGGUUUUUCCUGAAUAGGCAAAUGAGGGGGUUAUGGAUGAUGGUUGUGGCUAGUCUCAUCUUCCUCCAGCUAAAAGGGGGACGAGCAAACGUUCUAAAUCAUGUGUGGCUCCUUGCAGGUCUAGUCUUCGCAUCAAAAAGUUAUCUUUCAAAUGAAAGCUCUAUUCUGGAAGAUGAGAGGUUUGGCGCUAGGGGGCGUCGAGACCAAAUUAGGGAUGUUGUCCGAGGCGAAAACAUUGACAUUUUAGGGCUUGUGGAAACUUUUAAAGAUUCUUUUUCCUCUAAUGAACUCUCUGCGAUUGUAGGCAUGGAUAGAUUCGAUUGGCACUUUCUUCCUUCCUCUAGGCACUCAGGAUGUAUUCUUAUUGGUUGCAAACGGGAUGUUUUUGAUUUUGUUGUUUUUUACCAUGGCACUUUAUGGGCAAGUAUUGUGGUACACCAUCGACAUCUUAACACCCUGUGGGAAUUUAUGGUGGUUUAUGGACCUGCAAAUCAUUCGCUUACCUCCCUGUUCCUUAACGAGUUAUCUACUAAGAUUGAGUCCGGCACGAUUCCUAUUGUUAUUGGAGGAGACUUUAACCUCCUACAUACACCCUCUGAUAAGAAUAAUUACAACUUUUCUUGGUCAAUUGAUAAUGUGUUUAACGAUUUCAUCAGUGCUUUUGCCAUUCACGAGCUUCCUAGGGUGGGAGCUCGCUUCACCUGAUCUAACCACCAUCUUAAUCCGGUCUGGUCGGUGCUGGACCGGGCCUUCAUAUGCCCUGGCUGGGAUUCUCUAUUCCCUCGAGCUUAUCUGAAAGCUAAACCCGCGGUGGGUUCUGACCAUGCGCCCCUCAUCCUUGAUUCUGGCCUCAAUCUUCCUAUGGCCUCUUCGCGCUUUCAAUUCGAUGCCUCUUGGCUUCUUGUGGAGGGAUUCAUUCCCAUGCUGGCUUCCAAGAUCUCACUCCUCCUCUUCUCCUCCCCACGUUCCUUUGGCCCCAUGGAUGAUUGGCACAAUUGCUCUUACGAGUUGAGGAAGUUUGUUAGGGGAUGGUCUCGCAAUAGGGCUGCGGAGGUACAUAGGAAGAAAAAUUCCUUAGAAAAUCAAAUCUCGGGCCUGGAUCUAACUGCUGAUUCGAUUGGCCUUUCUGACCAUGACUGGUCUAUCAGAUAUAACCUAGAAGCCGCGAUGAUGCAGUUGCACCAGCAGGCAGAAAUUUAUUGGCGUCAGCGUGGUACUCUUAGCUGGACCCUUAAAGGUGAUUCUCCUACGACCUACUUCCUUGCUAUUGCUAAUGGGAGAAGAAGAAGAAGGUGUUUCAUUGAUAGCCUCAUCAUUAAUGGUGCUAGAUCCUCGGAUCAAUCCCAGAUUAUUGCCCAUGUCGUGGAUUUCUUCUCCUCUCUCCUGGGGGCUGAACAAGAGAGUGACCUCUCUAUCUCCUCCUCUCUGUGGGAUAAUGCUAAUAGGAUUUCGGCUAAUGAGAAUGAUGCGCUAAUGAUUCCUUUGUCUGAUAAGGAUAUCUGGGAGGUCAUAAACUCUGCUAACCCAAAUGCUGCCUUUGGUCUUGAUGGGUUUUCUGUCCCCUUCUUUAAAAAGUUCUGGCCGCAGUUACGUGGGCUGGUGUGUAAAAUUAUUCUGGAUUUCUGCCUGGGCACGGUGGAUAUCUCGCGCCUGAACUAUGCUGUUAUUACUCUUAUCCCUAAAGUAAAAGAAGCAGAGCUCAUAUCCCAGUUCAGACCUAUUGCCCUUAUUAAUAAUUUUGCUAAAUUUCCGGCUAAGGGCUUUGCCACUCGCCUUACACCUACAGCUCAUAGAACUAUUAGCCCUUUUCCAAUCUGCUUUCAUUAAAGGCCAUUUUAUCCUUGAUGGGAUCAUUUAUCUCCAUGAGAUUGUGCACGAUCUUAAGAUUCGCAAAUCUAAAGUUGUAAUUCUAAAGUUAUACUUUGAGAAAGCUUACGACUCGGUUAGCUGGCCUUUUUGAGAAAGGUGCUUCUAGCAAAAGGCUUUGAUGGGGCAUAUUUCCAUAGGAUNNNNNNNNNNNNNNNNNNNNNNNNNNNNNNNNNNNNNNNNNNNNNNNNNNNNNNNNNNNNNNNNNNNNNNNNNNNNNNNNNNNNNNNNNNNNNNNNNNNNNNNNNNNNNNNNNNNNNNNNNNNNNNNNNNNNNNNNNNNNNNNNNNNNNNNNNNNNNNNNNNNNNNNNNNNNNNNNNNNNNNNNNNNNNNNNNNNNNNNNNNNNNNNNNNNNNNNNNNNNNNNNNNNNNNNNNNNNNNNNNNNNNNNNNNNNNNNNNNNNNNNNNNNNNNNNNNNNNNNNNNNNNNNNNNNNNNNNNNNCUUUGCCAAUGGUAGAGGCCUUCGGCAAGGUCACCCUGUUCAACUUUGUUGCCGAUGCUUUAUCUCGUAUUUUUGUCUAGAGCGGCCUCUCAUGGCCACAUCUCUCCUAUCAUCUCACAUCUCGUUUCGGAAGGGGCCACCCACCUUCAUUAUGGUUGACCUAAAUGACUCUUGUAUUGCCCACCUCAAGUUAAUUCUGCUUUGUUUCGAAGCCUUGUCAGGACUCAAAAUUAACUUCUCUAAAAGUGAGGUCAUUGUUACCGAUGUGGAUGACACCGAGGCCUUAAGGGUGGCCCACCUCCUCAACUGCAAGUUGGGAUCCUUCCCCUUUAAAUACUUGGGCCUACCUAUUUCCCCUGAGUUGCUUUAUGCGAAAGAAUUUGCGCCAGCUGUAGCUAAAGUGGGCAAUAGGUUCCUUCCUUGGUGAGGCAGAUAUAAUACUAAUGUUGGGAAAGUAGCAUUGAUCAACGCUUUCCUAUCCUCCUUACCAAUGUUUCUCAUGGGCUUUUAUUUGCUUUCAGCUGGCACGCAUGCAAGCUUGACAAAUAUAGAGGGGCAUUUUAUUGGAAUGCUGCAGAUAAUAAGCGGAAAUACAGAUUUGUCAGGUGGAAACUUAUGUGUAGACCUAAAAACCUUGGGGGUUGGGCAGUAUUAAUACUGCCAUUAUGAAUAAGUGUCUUCUGAUUAAGUGGUCAUGGAAAAUCAUGACAACAGGUGUGGGAUCCUUAUGGUACUCCAUCCUCAAAGCUAAGUACUUCCCUCUCUCUAGUGCUUUGUUUGCCUCUGCCCGAGGAGGAUCCCAAUUCUGGAGGGAUUUGGUUAAAGUUAGACCUCUGUUUUUGGACCAUGUUAAGUUUGUGGUUGGAGAUGGCUCCUCUAUUCGGUUUUGGCUUGAUUGGUGGUGUGGAGACUCACCUCUCUCCGUGAGCUUCCCCACUCUGUUCUCUUAUUGGCCUCACCCGAGUAUCUCUGUCACCGAGCUUUCGGCUAAUAAUUGGGACCUGUCUUUAUGUUCUUUAUCUCCCGUAGAGCUUGAAGACUGGCAAAGACUCCAUGCUCUCUUCCCUCCGCUCUCGGAGAAUGUGGACUUGGUAGUCUGGCCCCAUACCUCGUUUGGCCGCAUUUCGGUUAAGUCUUUAUAUUCUAAGCUUGUGGGUGGCACUCCCACCAAUAGAUUUUCUCAGGUCUAGCGGGCCCGCAUUCCUCCUAAAAUCAAGAUAUUCCUCUGGCAAUCUUUUAGAGGGCGUUUGCCUGCAGCAGACCAAAUUCAUAAGAGGAACGACCCUGGGUCGAGAUUAUGCGCCCUUUGUGGUGCUCUGGAGGAUACGAACCAUAUCUUUUUUUCACUGUGUUUUGGCCAAGCUGGUUUGUAGUUGUGUUAGAUCGUGGCUACAGGUCACAUGGGACCCCUCGUCUUUCUCUGAGCUCCGGGUCCUUGCCCAAUCGUUGAAUGGUGUUACUAAAAGGGUCUCUUGGGUAGGACUUGGAGCGAUUUGUUCUGCCUUGUGGACGACUAGGAACAAGUUUACCAUCGAGCAUGUUUUUCCUGCUAAGCCUGCUGACUGCUUAUUUAAAUCUUGUAUUCUCUUGCAGCAGUGGAGAUCAUUGACUAAGACGGAGGACCGUGAUGCUCUUAAUCUGAUGAUUUCUAAAGUACGGGCCUCAGCGUCUUCCCUUUCCAGACAGGAGCAUGUUGCUUAGCUAUUUUCUGCGUUGCUUCGACUAGUUGCUGGCUAGGUCGUAUCUAUCUCUCUGGCAUGCGUGCCGUGUACUAGCCUGGGAGCCAUGUACCUUAACUUCGGGUGUUCCCUCGUUUGGGGCGUACUUUUGUUUUCUUGUUUGGUUGGUUGGUUGUGAUGGUUGGAACUCUGCUUGGUGGCUUUAUCUAUAAAGUCGGGCGCAUACCUUUUCUCUAAAAAUUAUCUACUCGUGGAUUAGAUAGUCCAAAAGGUUGCUAAUAUUUCCAGCAAUAUAUUGUAGGUAACAAAAUUUGGCAAAUCUGUCGGAGAUGCUCUACCCUUGUGACGGAUUUCUGCGGUACGUCUGCAGACUGCUAUACGCAUACCAUUGAUUGGGCACGAAAAUACAAAAGAGCGCUCGUCUUCGCAUGCUCACGGUAUCUUUUGCCGUCCAUUUCCUGUAGAUCCGAUACAAUAUACAUUAGUGGGCCUGAGAUAGAUUUAAUGAUGCACUGCUCUGGCCAACACGGCAUGCGUAACAUCCUCUACGUGAUGCUGGCACACGCGGCCAGCUCCGUCUUGUGCCGGCGGCCUAUUUCAAGCGUGGUUUUGUCCUCGUCAUGUGUCGUCCCAUUAGCCUAAUUGAUAACUGAAAUGUGAUUUUUUUUUCAAUUUACAGACAUUUAUUGAAUAUGUGCACAUUUCUGGAUUUGUGAGUAUAUUUUGAAUUCUCCGCGAACAUUUAUUGAAUUCAUGAGCAACUUUUGAAUUUACGGCCAACAUCUAUUGAAUUCAUGAAUAUUUUUUGAAUUUGUGAACAUAUUUCCAAUUCUUAAACAUUUUUAACUCGUGAACAAUAUUUGAAUUCGAGAACUCUUUAUUGAAUUGUUUCUAGAAUACUUGAACAUAUUUUGAAUUCCUAAAUAUUUUUUAAUUUGCCACGAACUUGUUUUGUAUUCACAAACAUUUUUUACAUCGGACAAUAUUUGAUUUCACCAUUAACAUAUUUUGAAUACAUUUUCUGAAUCUGCGAUUUAAGAGAAAACAAGAAUGACCCCGGUCUCUGCAUCAAUUGAUGCAUACAACCAUCUGUAUUAUUAUUUAACAGUCUGAUAACAUGAAUACAUGGAUCAAUGCAAAGCCACUCAUCCGGCGAACAAAAGUCACAACAUAUACACUCUUGAUAAUGUGCCCGAAUCGCAUGAACGCGCACUAUCUAAUCCGGUAGCCUCACGCAUUUGCCCCGCAUCGGGCCGAGAGCACCACCCAGUCUGGCCGACCCGCACUGCGCACGGCAUGCGGAUGCUCUGGAUCCGCCGCCGCCAUCUUCCACCAUCCCAUCUCCAGGAGCGGUCAACGCAUUCACCUUGCUAGUCGUACUGCCGUCCAUGUCACCACGAUGCCAGAGAGCACCACUGCCUUGCGCUCGUCCAUCAAGAUGCAUGCGUCAUCAAGACUCCAUUGCACCAUGCCGCCAAGAUCUGCCGUCGUCGACGCGGUAGAUAUGAUGCCACACCAUCUCCUAAUCUAGAUCACCGCCAACGCCAACCCAACAGUGUCCACCAUCCACACAGCUCCCAAGCCGACACCUUAAAAAAUGUUGUGGUGGAGCGACGCCGAAGGCGCCGUCGUCGCCCACCGCGGUUAGGGCUUUCAUCCGAGACACAAACGACAUGGUGGAAGUAGAAGCAGAUCUGACGAGCGUCUCCAUAGACAAGAAAACAGUGCCCUAGGGUGUCAGCCGCUGCCGCGACCGAAAGGCCGACUAGGGAUUUUUGCCAAUCUGAACCCCCACCUCCAGCUUAAACCGCAUCGAGGAUCAGCAAGUAUUGUGAUCCAGAUCCACACGGAGAGGCAUACCGAGCACGAGAUGAAGGCUACUAGGCGUCCCGAUCCAGACCAGGCACCUGCGGGCGAACCCGACUGCCAGGCACCCGCAGUGUUCCGAACAGUCGGAAGGAUCGGAGGAAACGAACAGAUCCGAUCCAGGAGCUCACCCUGGAUCACCGCACCCGCUGGCCCACACGGAGCUCCUUCGAACGGCCAGACGGAUCAGGCGGAUCCAAUCCAAGCGCCCACCACCGAGCGCGACAACAAGCUCCCCGCCGACACCUUCCUUGGCUAUGUCCUAGGCUUGCCCGACGCCAGCCUCUGGCGGCGGCGAGGAAGGAAAGGGAAGCGGGGAAGGCUAAGGGGCGACGACACGAGAUCGCUCCCCACGUCGCCCUAUCGGGGCGCGCGCGCGGUGGGGGAUGGAGGGGGGAGGGCAGCUUUGCUCUCUCUUCCGAAUGUGUGAACAUUUUUUGAAUUUGCUGUGAACAAAUUUUUAAUGCGAGAACAUUUCCGAAUUUGUGAACAAUACUCAAAUUCACAAACGUUUGUUUUGAAUACUUGAAUUUUCCUGGAAACCUUGAACAUAGUUUGAUUCCGCGAACAUUGUUUUUGAAUACUUAAUUUUUUUUCUAGAAUACUUGAACACAUUAUGUAUUCGUGAACAUUUUUAAUACUUGAACAUUUUUCUAGAAUAGCUACAUAUAUUUUAAAUUUAUGAACAUUUCAUGAUUUUUUCUUUGCGGGUGAAAAAUUCUUGAAUCUGCCCCUACAUAUAUUUUUUGCGGUACGUGCAGACUGCUAUACGUAUACCAUUGAUUGGGCAGUCUUUUACAGUGGUGUGAUUAAUUAUGGAGAUGUCUCUGGUGAGGGGCAGGCAGCAGAGGAGAAACCAUUACACAAUAACUCUGCAGGUGGCUUUAAACCGCAGAUGGCUAUAUGGCUAUAGUAGUAGCUAGUUGCGCGCAUGCGGGGGGAGGAAGUGCAUAUGCAUGCAGACGAUGCAUGUAUGUGUCCGUCCACUGGGACAUUAUGGUGCAUUUGUAAGCACGCAGAAAUCGCAGACAAUGGGGUGCAGCCCAGCUAGAGAUGCUGAAAUAAAUCGAGCUAGCCAAGGAGCACGUACUCCUCCUCCUCCUUAGCUACUACGUACUACUACAGACGUCUCUUGGCGAAAUCAAUCCGGCCCUGCGUGACGCAACGAGGAGCUAAGUUGCACUUGAAUUGCAUUGCAUUGCACCGCAUGCCAUUACUGCAUGCAAUGCCCCAACUGCAUGCAUUCAUGUGGAUUUGUUACUAUCUCUACGUGCCGAAUUCAAGUCUUCAACCGAACUAGCAUACCUUCAACGACAGCAACACCAAAAAGAUCUCAAGGAAUUUUCCUUCUGCCCGAUCGAGAGGUUUUAGGAUAUCAUAGUUUUGUUCCUUAAUCUCCCUUUUGAUCAAGCCGUGCCUUGCCCUUGAGAAAGCCAUGGGUUGCUUGUGUAAGGCAGCGGAUCUAUUUCUUCCGAGACAUGCAUCCGACCUCCGUGCAGACGCACUUGAAGUGCAGCUCCCGCGCCCAGAGAUUUGCCCGUCGUGCUAUAUAAUUGUGUAAUGAUGCCCUUGUUUAUCCAGCUUUUACUUCCUUCCAGUGUGUGUGUCAGCCCCUGACCGGUACCUGUACUUUGCAGAGAUCGAUGCUGCUGUGUAUCGACAGUCCAUGCCUCACCCGACAGUCGAUCUGGGCCGUAGGUUCUCGAUCGGAUAGUGCUCACCACACCUGAAGUAUUACUCGACGAGAACAGAGAUAUGCAAAUCGUAUGCAUGCAUGGCUCAAAUACUUGGUUCGAACCCUCGCACCUGAGGAUGCAAAGCGGGGCCGGGUUUCCCGGACAAUACUCCCUCCGUUCCAUAAUGUAGUGCCUAUAGAUUUUUACAAAAGUCAAACAUUACAAACUUUGAAGAAAAGUAGGUACAUCUAGAAUACCAAAUGGACAUCACUGGAUACAUCGCGAGUUAUAUUUUGAGGAUGUAUAUGUUUGAUAUUGUAGAUGUAGAUAGUUUUCUCUAUACACUUGGUCAAAGUUGGCAAAGUUUGACUUUCACAAAAAUCUAUAGGCACUACAUUGUGGAAUGGAGGGAGUAUCACAGUAGUACUAGUACUACAAAAUUUGUGUUAACUUGGCAGCUAGUAAUUGAUGCUUUUCGCGGGAUAAGCGGGCCGCCCGCGCCCUACCUAAUUAAGCCCUUGAAUCCCUCAUAGAGAAAAACCUAACCAGAAGAAUUGUGAGAAAUAAGUUAAUUUAUCAAGUUGAGGCAUUUUGAUUUGGAUUUCAAAUAAGAAAAAAAGGAUUUUGUGAAAUUUAGGAGUCGUUCAAAAGCAUCAAGAGGGAAGAACUCGGAUAGAAAGGCAGGCGAAGUUGGUGGCCAACCUAAUUUCCCUCCGAAUCCCUCAGAGAGAAAAACCUAAUGAAGUCCUUGAAGAAAAACCAGAAAAACAUGGUGAAAACACAGUUGACUAGUACAAAUUAUUGGAGACAACCAUCGCUAGCUUAGCUGCUGCAUACCGUUAGUUAGGCCUUGCAUUUCUUCAGCAAACAGGGGAUUACAAACUUAGAAGACCACUGCUACUACAACACCAAUCGGAAACUAGCCAUAGCGCUAAUUAAACUGACCAACCCACUGCAACCCAGCAACACAAAGGAAAGUAACUACUUAAGCUAAGUAGCCUGCUACUCAGAGAUCCAACCCUGUCCAGUGGAUGAUCCGACGGCGGUCACUCACUCCUCCAGCCUCAAAAUUCGCGCAUCGCCUGAUCGAGCUAACCAUCCGUGUGAGCAUCCACUGGACGGGCACGCGCCCGCACCGUUGAUAUUUC
rnacentral:lncRNA from 1 species